ACGAACGCUGGCGGCGUGCCUAAUACAUGCCAGUCGAACGCUUCUUUCCUCCCGAGUGCUUGCACUCAAUUGGAAAGAGGAGUGGCGGACGGGUGAGUAACACGUGGGUAACCUACCCAUCAGAGGGGGAUAACACUUGGAAACAGGUGCUAAUACCGCAUAACAGUUUAUGCCGCAUGGCAUAAGAGUGAAAGGCGCUUUCGGGUGUCGCUGAUGGAUGGACCCGCGGUGCAUUAGCUAGUUGGUGAGGUAACGGCUCACCAAGGCCACGAUGCAUAGCCGACCUGAGAGGGUGAUCGGCCACACUGGGACUGAGACACGGCCCAGACUCCUACGGGAGGCAGCAGUAGGGAAUCUUCGGCAAUGGACGAAAGUCUGACCGAGCAACGCCGCGUGAGUGAAGAAGGUUUUCGGAUCGUAAAACUCUGUUGUUAGAGAAGAACAAGGACGUUAGUAACUGAACGUCCCCUGACGGUAUCUAACCAGAAAGCCACGGCUAACUACGUGC
rnacentral:rRNA from 1 species